rnacentral:lncRNA from 1 species
CUCGGGCUCUGAAGGAAGGGAAGGAGGAGAAGGAGGUGGUGGUGGAGGAGGAGGAGGGAAGAGCUGGGCUGAUACACUCCCUGCGCAGCUCUGGCUCCUCUGAGGGGCGUGGAAGGGUAGAGGGAGGGAGGCAGCUUCUGGACUGCUGUUCUGGGCUAUUGCAACUUCAGGGCAAGUUUUGAGAAUUGCAAUUAUCUGGUUUCUGGCAGGCAGCUGAGGCCAGAUGAUCCUGAUGCAGAAACAGAAGAAGACAAUUCUGUGAAUGAAGUACCUAUUGAUGAAAUUAUCCGUCCUAGGCCUCAGGGCUCCUCACCAGUCUAUGAGUACUCCAUUGACGAAGCACACUUCAGCAAGGGGGUAAGCCUUGCCUACAGUCAAUUCAAUUUCACAAGGUUUUAUUAAGCCCCUACUAUGUGCCAGGCACUAUGCCAGGCUCUGGGGAUAUGAAGACAAUAAUGAAGUGGUCUCAGCCUUCAAGGAACUUAUAUUCUAC